rnacentral:rRNA from 1 species
UACGUAGGGCGCAAGCGUUGUCCGGAUUUAUUGGGCGUAAAGAGCUCGUAGGCGGUUUGUCGCGUCUGCUGUGAAAACUGGAGGCUCAACCUCCAGCCUGCAGUGGGUACGGGCAAACUAGAGUGCGGUAGGGGAGAUUGGAAUUCCUGGUGUAGCGGUGGAAUGCGCAGAUAUCAGGAGGAACACCGGUGGCGAAGGCGGGUCUCUGGGCCGAUACUGACGCUGAGGAGCGAAAGCGUGGGGAGCGAACAGG